AAAUGAAAGCCCAGGGGAUACACAAGAUUGAGAGUUUAUAUGUGCUUGCAAUUUGAACCUUGUGGACUAAAAACUUUAUUGACAGUGCCAUUAUGGCAGUUUCUGUAUGGCCAACCAAUGAACCUUUAAAAUGUUUUAACUUGUGGGAAUUUCUAAGCACAAGUGCCUGGAUUCAACUCUUAAGAGAAAUAAUAACCGUUGGGAUUGUGUUCUGAUAGCCCUUUUAGAGACCCUUUUAAGAGGCUGGACCCUGCUUAAGUGAGAUCAAUCCUGAGCAGUGGCCUUUCCCCCUUUAGAGAUUAGCGCGCAUGAUUAGCCAGUAUGGAUCAUUUUUCCUGUCAUUUUCCUGUCAGACAAAAUUUGGUUAUUUUGAUGGGUAGGCAAGAAUAUUUAAUUAAUUUCAGCCUUGAUGACUAAGCUGUCAAGUUGGAGGCAUGUAAAAAAUGGGUCCUUGGCUUGUGAUGAAGGGUCAGUUUGGGAGUUUUGGCCUUUUUGUAUUUUGUAAUGGGCUUAGGUUGUUAGAUGAGGUAUUUAAGCUUUUAUACUGAUUUGGAAUGGUAAAUUGUUUAAAGCUUUGGGCAUGGUUAGAGAAAAAUGUAGCUUUGGCACAAGGUUGAUUAAUUGAAAAAAGGCUAUGUAGCAUAUUUUCUUCAGUGGCUAAAUAUUGAAAUUAGGGUCUGUUCUGACUUCUGAGAAGUUUGAUUAGUGGAUAAAGAGGGAAAAAAAAAUGGGAUGAAUUUAGAUGCUGAUUAGAGUGGUGAAAGAAGGAAAAUUGAGGGUUGCCAGGGUGUUGUUAGAGUGCUGUAUCAGCUGAAUCUAGAGAGAGAGAGAGAGAG
rnacentral:misc_RNA from 1 species